GGGCCAGUGGCGCAAUGGAUAACGCGUCUGACUACGGAUCAGAAGAUUCUAGGUUCGACUUGGAUUAAUAUCCAGCCCA